AGACGACAGUCCAACAUGGCGGUCUUCUGAUAUUGACAUUCGGGAAUGAAUUCUGACAUUUCUCGCUUCAAGUUAUGACACUGUGCUCUUUCUGAUCUGGCCUGAGACAUAUGAAGCAUUGGUGGUGGUAAUAAGACAUCGGCAUGACAGCUGUGAUGGCCGCUGGAGACUCAGGUAGCCUGUCUCUGGGUGGUCUGCUGUCCUCCCUGGAGAAAGCCCGAGUGCAAUUGGACAGCGAUGAAGAUGACUUUGGCUUCCUUGCAGACCUGCUCAAGUCCCGAGAACUACAAGCACUUGUUCAUGUACAUAAUAAGGCGGACCAGAUCAACCGCACCAAGAAGGCCUGUCAGCCACUUAUGUCCAAUGCGGAAGACAUUGCCAUCUCCAUCAUGAGGGAGAUACAUUAUCGCACCAUACCCUCUGGUGAUGCCAUCGAACUUUUUGCCAUCUUACAGUCACCCCACCUACAAGGAGUUCUCCAAGCUCAUGAUAGCAUCGCAGCUAAGGAUUUUGUACCGCACUUACCAGAGAUCCCAGUAGAAGUUGAUGAGGAUGAGGAGACUGUAAAAAUUGUGCAGCUAGUGAAGAGCAAUGAACCAAUGGAAGGGAAGGGAGCUGAACCAAUUGUGGGUGCUACUAUCAAGCAUGACGAUCGAACAGGAGCCAUAGUGAUUGCCCGUAUCAUGCAUGGUGGUGCUGCUGAUCGUUCUGGCCUGAUACAUGUUGGGGACGAGGUGCAAGAAGUCAACAAUUUAAACGUAGUUGGCAAAACUCCAGCUGAUGUCCUAAAGAUACUUAUGCAAGCAGAAGGCACCAUCACCUUCAAGCUCCUUCCUGCUGGCAGUGCAGCUUAUUUAAGAGAGAGUAAAGUACGUGUUCGUGCCUAUUUCGACUAUGACCCCAAAGAAGACAAACAUAUCCCCUGUAAAGAGGCUGGACUUGCAUUCAAGAAACAAGACAUCCUUCACAUUGUCACCCAAGAUGACCCAUAUUGGUGGCAAGCACGAAGAGAAGGAGACCGUAACAUGCGUGCUGGACUGAUUCCCUCUAGGCAGCUCCAAGAAAGACGUAUCUUGUCGCAACGACAGGAGCAGACUGCUAAUGGUCAAAUUGCAGGAAAUAUUAUCCCCAAGUCACCAAGUUGCAAACCCUCACCUAAAGUGAAGAAGAUAAUAUAUGAUGCUUCUGAAAGUGAGGAUUUUGAUCGGGAAGAAGUGGCAACGUAUGAAGAAGUGGCACGUCUCUAUCCUCGACCUGGUCUUCCUCGACCUGUUGUUUUGAUUGGUCCACCUGGUGUUGGGAGGAAUGAAUUGAAGCGAAGAUUAAUGACUCUUGACGUAGAUAAAUUCCGGACACCAAUUCCCAUGACUUCACGACCAUCACGACAUGGUGAGGUGAACAACCGGGACUAUCAGUUUGUAACCCGAGAAGAACUAGAGGAGGAGGCUGCUUCGGGGACAUUAGUUGAACAUGGAGAGUUCAAGGGUCACUUGUAUGGCACCUCGUCUGUCACUCUUAAGUCUAUGAUUAAUGCUGGCUAUGUAGUGCUGGUUACUCCACACUAUCAGGCCCUUAAGUACCUGAGAACUGCAGAGUUCAAACCGUACGUGAUAUACAUCAAGCCUCCAACACUGGCUGUGCUCAAAGAAACGAGACAAGCAGCUCAUGCACGCUCAACCUUUGAUGAAAAUAAUUCUAGAGGCUUUACAGAAGAUGAAUUUAGGGACAUGCUGAAGGCAGCUGCAAGAAUUGAAUUUCACUACUCUCACUGGUUUGAUGAAGUUAUUGUUAAUGAUGAGCUAUCUUCAGCCUUUGAGCUCUUGGUUGCAGCUGUAAAUAAGGUGGAAACGGAACCACUGUGGGUGCCUGCAUCAUGGGUGCAAUAAUCAUGAUCUGAUCACAAGAAACAAUUGUUUUCUGAGUAGUGCAGCAAUAAGACUUGUUCUUCAUGCAUUACAAAUCUAAGAAGUAGACGAGUUGUGAGAGUUGUGCUUGGGGUGCGACAGUGCUAUAAGGGUCAGUUUACUUCUAGUUACCACUAUUGGUGAGAAACAUUAAAUUACUGUUAUGUACCAAACAAUUGUAGAAUGUAAUAUAACUAGUCAAUGUUUUCUUUGAAUUUAUGCAUCCAAAGAAUUGCCUCGUUAGCACUAGUGAGAUGUUUGUCAUAAGUUUUCUUUUGGGCAUACAUGCUAACGUUUGGGCAUACUUUAACAGAAAUCAAAUUUUAUAUGGGUGUGUCAGUUGUUUCACUAAUGAAUGCAUCCAUUCUUUCCAUAUGAAUCUCCUCAAGUAGAAUUCUGCUGUGAAAAACAAAUAUUUCUGAUUCUGAUGUUAUCCACUGAAUCAGAUCUGACAAAAAUGGGAGUGUGUAUAUGAAGCAGACAUCUUCUUUGUUGCAUUGAGUGAUUUAUCAAACCUUAAAAAUAGGUGGUAUAAAUUCUUAAGUGUGAUACAUCUCAUGAUUGAUGUAAGAAACUUAAAAAAGACAGUCAGGGAGCUAAUUGCUAAAUUGAACAAAUGGUAGAUGUCAAAUUAAAUUCAAAGUUAUAUUCCACGUCAAAAGCAAAUUAAAUAAUUGUAUUGAUUCAGGAGGUUGAAGUCUGUGCCUGCAUUACUUAGGGCUCAAGAGUGCAAGAUGAGGCUAGGUCAGGUAAGGUCAGAGCAAGAGCCUUUUUAAGUCUGUUAGUAGGAACAAGAACAUACACUAUAUUGUUAUCUUUAUUGUGAUACUAAUUAACCGUAUUCAUAGUUAGCUCAUUAGAAUGUGGAUCAUUUUAAUUGUUUUAUUCGUUUCUAAUGAUAUAGAAUGGAAUCAGUGAUAGGUAUGACAAGUAUUCCAAGUUAAUUUCACUUAUGAGCUCAAAAUAAGCUGACCUGGCCACUGAUGUUCUCACCAGUGUUAUGUGACUUGUGUUCAUUGGGUUUGUUGAAAGCAUAAACAUGAUCUCAACACAAAUCUAGUGAAUCGUGUAGCUCAACAGUGAGCGAAUAUUGUUGAUAGUGUUAAUGUGUAGCAAUUGCUAGUUUAUUCUACGUACAGCCCUUCAUUCCUCAGUAGUUUUAUGCAAGCGAGUCAAAUAAGGGAAAUUCCAAUAGUACAGUAUUAUGAAACUGCACAUUUGAGACAGUAAAUAAAUAAUAAUUCUUGAAUUAAUGGUGAAGGGAUCAGAAUGUAAAUUAAAUGCAUUACAGUAUUUUGUAAAAUCUGUUUAGGUUUAAUUAUUUUUAUAUCAUUAUUAAUAUAAAGUUUCUGAAAAGUCAUUAGUAUAAUAGAUGUGAAUUCUCAAGAAGUCUAGUUCAGGAUAGUUUGAGAAUACUCUGUGAUUUUCAUAUUUUCUUCCUUGUGAUGAUUUUACAGUUCUGGUGGACAGACAAGACAUUGACUUGAUCUUUAUUGUUUAUCUUGCAAAUAUAGAAGCUUUGAAUACAGCCCAAGAGGCAGUGGGGUAAAAAGUUGUGGCUUAUAUCAGUAGAAGCUGAUAUUACCAAAUAAACAAAGUUGACAUUUGUGUCUUCGCAACUCGGAUAGGAUGAAUCUUCAAUUAUGUCUUUAAGAUAGCAAACUGAAUUUUUUUAAUAAUCUUUACAGAAAGGUGAUGUAAAAUAUAUAAAAAUAUACUAAUAAUGAUAAUAAUAAUAACAACAGUAAUACUACUAUAGGGGGUACUACUAAUAUUAAUAACAACAAAAAUGAACAAAGUUUUUUUUAGAAUAUUGUCUAUAUAUUUCAAUAUUAAGGGAAUAUAUUCUGAUCUAUUUCUUAAUUGUAGACUGUAAUCGUUUGAAUUAGCAUGUAAAGUUAAGUAAACAAGCUAUGUAAGGUCCACAGAUACUUCUGUUUCAUAAGUUAAAACAAAAUUAUGGCUAAUCUUAGUUUUUAUCUUGACUGACUUAUAAUAAUGAAAUUUAUGAAAUACAGUACAGUAUGUAUAAAUGCUUCAGUCUCUGCACACCAUAUGUAAGUGGCACAAUAUUGUUAAAUGCUAGAUGGUGUUCUAUAUUUAGUGCCAACAGUUGUUAGUGAAAUUGUAAAUACAUUUCAUUUGUGGUGAAGUUUUGAUGGUGUUGGCAAAGUUCAUCCAAUUGUUUUCUCUCUGAAAUUGCCACAGAGAGAAUAGGCUUAUUAGACCUCUGCCUGCUGACAUGUAAUGACUAAGAUAAACCUAUAGAAUAAUGAAACAAAAACAAAUACGUAUUUUCAGCUAAAAUAAUCUAAAGAACAUUUCAGGCUAAUAGUAUGUGUCAAUCAUUGUCCAGUUUGCAGUUGUCUGGUUACCGUUGAUCAUAUACCUGGUGUGAAAGACCAGAAGGGUUGUGUUUAUUUAUGUUUCAGUAUAUGAUGGCUAGUGAAAUUUUCAAUUUCUUGGUGAGAUAAAGUAGUGAAUAAUUAAGAUGUAGUUAAUUAAUAAAUUAUUAUUUCAAACUGGAGCCUACAAAUAAGUUUAAUGGAUACACAAUAUCCAUGAAUCGAAUUUGCAUACUUUGUCAUGAACCAAAAUACUGUACAUCAUUACAUAUGUAAUGGAGAAUUUCAUUAGCAGAUAAAAUUGUGUUGAACAAUCAAAGUUAUAGACAUUCAAACUGUAAAUAGUUGAGCCCAAGAAGAAAUAGACUAUACCAUUUUGGGCCUUCCCAUGCCUUCUUACAGAACUGUAUGUCACAGUGAAGAUGUAUUUUGUGAUUUUACAGUCAACACUAGAGAAUCAUAUUACAUCACUAGGCUGAGUAAACCUAAAAUCAGCUUUGAAAAACAUCAAACGUUUUAUUUCAAGUGAAGAAAAAAUUAAGCUUUCAACAGUUUACUUGUAUUUUUUAAGUGUUUGCACUUUGAUCAUUCACUGUAACUUAGAUGAAGUGCAGCUCUUCAUAUUAUAAUUUUUAGGUAUCAGCAGACUGAACUCUUGGCUUUUACCAGAAAAGAUGAAAAGAACAAAUCAAGUCUUGUGUAAAGUGGCCUACUAGUCAUUGUAGAAGUAAACACAUGUACCCAUUAGUUGAUAGUAUUUUCCAAGUUAUUGAAAAAAAAUGUGUCAAUAGAAACUUAUAAAUUAUAACCUAAUAUACAAGACAGGAGUUAAUAUCAAAGAUAAGUAUGUUAGCAAGCUCUAUACUUUACUUUAAAUAGCACUGACCAAGUUGUCUAAUAGUGAUCUCACAAAAUUUUUACCUAAAGUACUGCCUUUGUAGUAUUACAAGGGGUCCCCGGGUUACGAACAAGUUUCGUUCCUGAGGACGUUCUUAAGUCAGAACACAUACCCUAUGUGCACUUUAUCAUAGCCUAAUUCAUUUUAUACAUCUAGAAUCACUUAAUUUAAAAUAAAGGAAGAAAUUGAAUGACAAAAUACAGUAAACUAAAAAUUAAAGUUUAACACUUACAUUGAAACCUGGGGCUGGUUUGCAUGUAGAGAUGGGCAUUUGUAGAAGUGAUUUAGAUCUUCCACCCAUAUCACUAACAAUCUUUCUAUUUCAAUUAUCAAUCCAAUUCUUUGUUUUGUUAUCAGUUGAGUGCAUUGGUGUAGAUCCUUUUACAUGUUCAAGAAUUUUGUGCUUGUCUUUCAAAAUUGUUUCGAUCAUUGACCGACUUAAGCCCAACACUUCACCAGUGACUGAGGGUGUUUUGCCUUUUUCAAAACAUUUAAUUUCAUCAACUUUCACUUCCAUUGUAAUUGUUUUCCUUUACUUGGAUGCACUACUAUCACUUGCAUCAGGUUUGCAUUUGGGAGCCAUGAUGAGGGCAGAAAAACAAAGUUAAUAAGCAAUAAACAACGGUUUGCAUUUGAUCACACACGUUACUGAGGUGAGGGCAAGGUGUACCGAUGCUCCCUCAAGGCACGUUGCUGGGUGACACAUUACUCCCCACACGCCGCUAUGCCAUGCAAACUAGUUCUCAUACAUUAAUACAAUGAACCUGUUGUACCUAUGUCGGGUUCCUAAAAUAGUUGACCUUAUGGGACCUCGUUUGUAUUGGCAGGUGUUCGGAAGUCAGACGUUUGUAACCCGGGGACCCCCUGUAUUGGUUUUACAUUACUGCAUAGGAGUUGUGGUUUUAUUUAUUAAGUGUACCAAUCACCUCAGUGUCAUUCAUGUACCUUUUUCUGUAAAGUGUUUAACCCUGUUGGUCUCCUCUUUUUCCAAAUAGUUCUUGCAAGUCUCUUGGAUUUAUUUUUUAUUUUAGACAUUAUUCGUAUAUUUUUAUUCUCCUCCAAUUAACAGAACAGAACUGUAUAUGUAAUGAAAACGUUAUUGUUUGUAGUUUUUCAGAUUUACAUUGUUUAAGUUUGUCAAUUCUCUUAAUUUAUUAUGCUCACAAAGUUCUUCCUUCUGUCUUCUAUUUGUUUCUGUUAUAUAUACAGUACAAUAUACUGUAUACUUUUUUCUUUUCUUUUUUCAAAUAAUCCCAAAGACAUGCAUCUGCACUUAGUUAAUUUGUAAUUUUGUUUUCCAACAUGUAACUGAAUACCAAAACAUUUAUAUUUAAUGGUUUGUCAAGGAUCCAGGUCCAUAUCCCACUACAGUAUCAUAAUAUUUAUAUGUUGUGCAGUUAUCAUAAAAGUAAUCCCAUUCAUUGAUAAUGAUAUAAUACGUAUAUAUAAUUGUAAUUGGCAAAAGAAAAAAAAAUUACUGCACAGUUGUGUACCAAGAGUAAAUGUCUUUACAAUGUGUGUGGUAUCAUCAAAUGGCAUUACAGUAUACAAUAUUGUGCAGCUGAAUUCAGAUACUAUUUUGUGCCAGUCAUUGCUCCUGUAUUUUUGUUCUUUAGUCAACCAUUUUUCAACAUGCUUGCAUUUCCUUAGAUCUUGUAUGCAGUUAAACUUACUGCAACAGUGUGUUAGUGCUCUACACCCGUUAAAGUAAGUCAUGCAACUGAAAAUCUCUUAGUAAUCUCAUCUUGUGAUGAUACUAAAGUACUUUUUACAUAGGAAUUGUCUCACUCGUACUUCCUCAAAUCUUUCAUUUAUUGUUUAAUGGUACCUAAUUCUACACCUUUACAAGUUUUUUUUUAUACAGUACAGCAUGUAUAAAAAAUUUGUCAGGUUUUUUACCUUUAGUCACCAUUAUGGUAUAUGUUCAAAUUAAUGUUCUUAGGUGGCUCACAUAUGACCUCUUUUCAACAACAGUUAGGCAUGUAUGAAAGAUCAAAGAUUUGUUAAAUAAUAAAAAAAUUUAUCUCUGUAUCAGACCAACAUGUAACAUCCAUUCCAAUCUAUAUUAUCAGUAAUCCUUACUCUUAUUAAAUACACAUGGCAACAAUCUUUC
rnacentral:misc_RNA from 1 species